UACGUAGGGCGCAAGCGUUGUCCGGAAUUAUUGGGCGUAAAGAGCUCGUAGGCGGCUUGUCACGUCGGGUGUGAAAGCCCGGGGCUAAACCCCGGGUCUGCAUUCGAUACGGGCUAGCUAGAGUGUGGUAGGGGAGAUCGGAAUUCCUGGUGUAGCGGUGAAAUGCGCAGAUAUCAGGAGGAACACCGGUGGCGAAGGCGGGUCUCUGGGCCGUAACUGACGCUGAGGAGCGAAAGCGUGGGGAGCGAACAGG
rnacentral:rRNA from 1 species